rnacentral:rRNA from 1 species
AGAGUUUGAUCCUGGCUCAGGAUGAACGCUGGCGGCAUGCCUAAUACAUGCAAGUCGAACGAGGAUCCUUGUGGAUCCUAGUGGCGAACGGGUGAGUAACACGUAGGGAACCUGCCCGCGCACCGGGAAUACGCUCUGGAAACGGAGAACAAAUCCCGAUGUACAGGAAGGAGGCAUCUUCUUUCUGUGAAACAUCCUGUAAGGGAUGGGGCGCGGAUGGACCUGCGGUGCAUUAGUUGGUUGGCGAGGGUAAAGGCCCACCAAGACGAUGAUGCAUAGCCGGCCUGAGAGGGCGGACGGCCACAUUGGGACUGAGACACGGCCCAGACUCCUGCGGGAGGCAGCAGUAGGGAAUUUUCGUCAAUGGGCGCAAGCCUGAACGAGCGAUGCCGCGUGAGUGAAGAAGGCCUUCGGGUCGUAAAGCUCUGUUGCGGGGGAAAAAAGGCAUCUGCAGGAAAUGGUAGAUGACAGAUGGUGCCCCGCCAGAAAGUCACGGCUAACUACGUGCCACCAGCCGCGGUAAUACGUAGGUGGCGA